rnacentral:rRNA from 1 species
ACACUCCUACGGGAGGCAGCAGUGGGGAAUAUUGGACAAUGGGCGCAAGCCUGAUCCAGCCAUGCCGCGUGAGUGAUGAAGGCCCUAGGGUUGUAAAGCUCUUUCACCGGUGAAGAAAUGACGGUAACCGGAGAAGAAGCCCCGGCUAACUUCGUGCCAGCAGCCGCGGUAAUACGAAGGGGGCUAGCGUUGUUCGGAUUUACUGGGCGUAAAGCGCACGUAGGCGGACUAUUAAGUCAGGGGUGAAAUCCCGGGGCUCAACCCCGGAACUGCCUUUGAUACUGGUAGUCUUGAGUUCGAGAGAGGUGAGUGGAAUUCCGAGUGUAGAGGUGAAAUUCGUAGAUAUUCGGAGGAACACCAGUGGCGAAGGCGGCUCACUGGCUCGAUACUGACGCUGAGGUGCGAAAGCGUGGGGAGCAAACAGGAUUAGAAACCCCAGUAGUCCCAUGA